UGGGGAAUCUUGCGCAAUGGGCGAAAGCCUGACGCAGCGACGCCGCGUGGAGGAUGAAGGUCUACGGAUUGUAAACUUCUGUUAAGUGGGAGGAAAUGUCGAUUAAUAAUACGAAUCGAAGCUGACUGUACCAUUAGAGAAAGCACCGGCUAAACUCGUGCCAGCAGCCGCGGUAAUACGAGUGGUGCAAGCGUUAUUCGGAAUCAUUGGGCGUAAAGGGUGUGUAGACGGCAUGCUAAGUCAAUUGUUAAAUUCACCGGCCUAACCGGUGGCUCGCAAUAGAUACUGGCGUGCUAGAGGGUGGAAGAGAGAAGUGGAAUUCUCGGAGUAGCGGUAAAAUGCGUAGAUCUCGAGAGGAACACCAAUGGCGAAGGCAGCUUCUUGGUCCAUUUCUGACGUUGAAACACGAAAGCGUGGGGAGCAAACAGGAUUAGAUACCCCCGUAGUCC
rnacentral:rRNA from 1 species